GCACUAUACAAAAAACAAAAAUGAACAAUAUUUUAAACAAUACUUGGUGGUGGAUUAACUUACGUCGAAUGUCGUGAGCAAAUCCUGCUAUAGUAUAAUUUAAAAACAAAAUACUUAGAAAAGGCUUGUC
rfam:Flavobacterium haoranii strain DSM 22807 genome assembly, contig: Ga0131240_105